CCGGUCCGCCGAAAAAGCCUCCGGGGAGAAUAGAGAAUCCGGUGCGAAUCCGGAGCGGUACCGCCACUGUAAGUGCGGAGGUCCCGGCAAUGGCGAAAGCCGGUCAUUGGAGCGAUCCGAGAAGGCCCAGCCGGGACUCAGGAUGCACAAGUCAGGAGACCUGCUGAAA
rnacentral:ncRNA from 1 species